GACGAACGCUGGCGGCGUGCUUAACACAUGCAAGUCGAACGGAAAGGCCCUGCUUUUGUGGGGUGCUCGAGUGGCGAACGGGUGAGUAACACGUGAGUAACCUGCCCUUGACUUUGGGAUAACUUCAGGAAACUGGGGCUAAUACCGGAUAGGAGCUCCUGCCGCAUGGUGGGGGUUGGAAAGUUUCGGUGGUUGGGGAUGGACUCGCGGCUUAUCAGCUUGUUGGUGGGGUAGUGGCUUACCAAGGCUUUGACGGGUAGCCGGCCUGAGAGGGUGACCGGCCACAUUGGGACUGAGAUACGGCCCAGACUCCUACGGGAGGCAGCAGUGGGGAAUAUUGCACAAUGGGCGGAAGCCUGAUGCAGCAACGCCGCGUGCGGUAUGACGGCCUUCUGGUUGUAAACCGCUUUCGCCUGUGACGAAGCGUUAGUGACGGUAAUGGGUAAAGAAGCACCGGCUAACUACGUG
rnacentral:rRNA from 1 species